AGAGUUUGAUCCUGGCUCAGAUUGAACGCUGGCGGCAUGCCUUACACUUGCAAGUCGAACGGCAGCACGGGGCAACCUGGUGGCGAGUGGCGAACGGGUGAGUAAUGUAUCGGAACGUACCAUUCAGUGGGGGAUAACGUAGCGAAAGUUACGCUAAUACCGCAUAUUCUGUGAGCAGGAAAGCAGGGGAUCGCAAGACCUUGCGCUGAUUGAGCGGCCGAUAUCAGAUUAGCUAGUUGGUGAGGUAAAAGCUCACCAAGGCGACGAUCUGUAGCGGGUCUGAGAGGAUGAUCCGCCACACUGGAACUGAGACACGGUCCAGACUCCUACGGGAGGCAGCAGUGGGGAAUUUUGGACAAUGGGGGCAACCCUGAUCCAGCCAUGCCGCGUGAGUGAAGAAGGCCUUCGGGUUGUAAAGCUCUUUCGGCCGGGAAGAAAUCGCAUGGGUUAAUACCCUGUGUGGAUGACGGUACCGGAAUAAGAAGCACCGGCUAACUACGUGCCAGCAGCCGCGGUAAUACGUAGGGUGCGAGCGUUAAUCGGAAUUACUGGGCGUAAAGCGUGCGCAGGCGGUUUUGUAAGACAGGCGUGAAAUCCCCGGGCUCAACCUGGGAACUGCGCUUGUGACUGCAAGGCUAGAGUACGGCAGAGGGGGGUGGAAUUCCACGUGUAGCAGUGAAAUGCGUAGAGAUGUGGAGGAACACCAAUGGCGAAGGCAGCCCCCUGGGUCGAUACUGACGCUCAUGCACGAAAGCGUGGGUAGCAAACAGGAUUAGAUACCCUGGUAGUCCACGCCCUAAACGAUGUCAACUAGGUGUUGGGUGGGUAAAACCAUUUAGUACCGGAGCUAACGCGUGAAGUUGACCGCCUGGGGAGUACGGCCGCAAGGUUAAAACUCAAAGGAAUUGACGGGGACCCGCACAG
rnacentral:rRNA from 1 species